rnacentral:rRNA from 1 species
GACGAACGCUGGCGGCGUGCUUAACACAUGCAAGUCGAACGGAAAGGCCCUGCUUUUGUGGGGUGCUCGAGUGGCGAACGGGUGAGUAACACGUGAGUAACCUGCCCUUGACUUUGGGAUAACUUCAGGAAACUGGGGCUAAUACCGGAUAGGAGCUCCUGCUGCAUGGUGGGGGUUGGAAAGUUUCGGCGGUUGGGGAUGGACUCGCGGCUUAUCAGCUUGUUGGUGGGGUAGUGGCUUACCAAGGCUUUGACGGGUAGCCGGCCUGAGAGGGUGACCGGCCACAUUGGGACUGAGAUACGGCCCAGACUCCUACGGGAGGCAGCAGUGGGGAAUACUGCACAGUGGGCGGAAGCCUGAUGCAGCAACGCCGCGUGCGGGAUGACGGCCUUCGGGUUGUAAACCGCUUUCGCCUGUGACGAAGCGUGAGUGACGGUAAUGGGUAAAGAAGCACCGGCUAACUACGUG